rfam:Pelecanus crispus contig32675, whole genome shotgun sequence.
CAACAGGUUUUUUUAAAAACCAUUUGCAUCUUGAAAACUAGCUGG